AAUAGAUACCCGGGUAGUCCACGCCGUAAACGAUGUCGACUUGGAGGUUGUGCCCUUGAGGCGUGGCUUCCGGAGCUAACGCGUUAAGUCGACCGCCUGGGGAGUACGGCCGCAAGGUUAAAACUCAAAUGAAUUGACGGGGGCCCGCACAAGCGGUGGAGCAUGUGGUUUAAUUCGAUGCAACGCGAAGAACCUUACCUACUCUUGACAUCCAGAGAACUUAGCAGAGAUGCUUUGGUGCCUUCGGGAACCCUGAGACAGGUGCUGCAUGGCUGUCGUCAGCUCGUGUUGUGAAAUGUUGGGUUAAGUCCCGCAACGAGCGCAACCCUUAUCCUUUGUUGCCAGCGGUUAGGCCGGGAACUCAAAGGAGACUGCCAGUGAUAAACUGGAGGAAGGUGGGGAUGACGUCAAGUCAUCAUGGCCCUUACGAGUAGGGCUACACACGUGCUACAAUGGCAUAUACAAAGAGAAGCGACCUCGCGAGAGCAAGCGGACCUCAUAAAGUAUGUCGUAGUCCGGAUUGGAGU
rnacentral:rRNA from 1 species